rnacentral:tRNA from 1 species
AACAAAGAAGUAAAAUUUACAUUUAGUUUCGACCUAAAAAUAAGAUUAAAUCUCAUGUUU